CACUGUUGCAUUUCAUCUUGUUGCCGGCAUUGGGCUCCCUAUGGCAAUCUGGUCUUUUCUCUUCAAUCUAAAUACAUUUGGAUUUGAAAGAAAUAAAAAAGAGUCUAGGAACUCAAAACACUACGCUGGCUUUAGAAGCAACUACAAGAAGUGAAAGGGCAGACUGCAAGACUCACACCGCACCAUACUGGGGCUGGGAGAUAAGAGUUCACUUGGCCAGUCUCUAAGGAACAGACAGCAGCAGUGAGAAAGUGACAGGUCACAGACCGUGGCGAAGGUUCAUUACCAACAUUACAGAAAGAUGGCUCCCCCCAUGUUACCGAUAGCGAAACAGACACGAGGGAGAGAAAGUGAUAUUCCUUGAGACAACAGAGCCCAGGCUGGAGUUGAGAACAAAUCAUAGGCUCUUAAUUUUGUUCUCUGGCCUAACAGAUACCAGGAAUCUUUAAGCCAAUUGCCAACCAAAUUUUAGUUUUGAGUUUCACAACAUGCAAGUAUCCAUCACAGGAACAAGAGAAAGAUACAAAGUAAUAUAUGAUUGAAGAAUGUGUUCCGCAGGAUGCCAAAAAUGCUCAUAUGCAGACUAGAAAGACUCCAGGGCAGAAUUUUUAAAGCAGCGAUACAGGCCCACACAAGACGCCCAUCUGUCCAACAAGGCUCCCACCAAUGGAACUUGCUGGUGACACGAUGUAUGAAUGGUGAGCCGUCUCAGACUGGGAAAGGCUGCAGCUGCCAGGAGUACAGAGAAGUCAGUCAGCUCCACGUGAGUGAAAUCAGCCUCAGAACUCAGAGCUAAUGUGGAACACAGAGGACUGCCCUUAUGUUUACAGACAGUUCUGUAAGUAACUGCUGUGCACUGCCAUCCAAAGGGUACAUUCACAGAUGGGCAAACUUCCAUACAUGGAACAUUUUGCCGUUAGGCAAGAGUAUACUAGCAGUCACUUGGCAGCAACUGCUAUCCCUAUAUUGAUGCACCCAUUUUCAUAACUUUUCCCCAAAAACUGCCUUUUGGGAUGAAGUUCUUCAGACUUAUGCUCUGCCCAAUGGUGAAUUUUUAAGAAGAGUUUGAGCAAAGAGGAAUUUUUAUGAAGAGUUUGUGAAAGGAAGAAGGGGAAAGGGGUUAAAAAAAUCCCUCUCCUUUUUAAAAAUGUAACCCCCUUUUCCUCCCAGAUCAUCAGACCUUAA